rnacentral:rRNA from 1 species
UACAGAGGUCUCAAGCGUUGCUCGGAAUUACUGGGCGUAAAGGGCGCGUAGGCGGACAGUUUAGUCAGAGGUGAAAGCCCAGGGCUCAACCUUGGAAUUGCCUUUGAUACUGGCUGUCUUGAGUUCGGGAGAGGUGAGUGGAAUGCCGAGUGUAGAGGUGAAAUUCGUAGAUAUUCGGCGGAACACCAGUGGCGAAGGCGACUCACUGGCCCGAUACUGACGCUGAGGCGCGAAAGCGUGGGGAGCAAACAGG